GGCCAUUGUAAUGCAAAAGAGAGUUGCAGAGUAACCCAGACCCAGUGGGGAACUGGGAAACUAGGACCUCGGAAAUGGGAAACACAAUGAACCCAGCAAUGAGAUACUCCUAGCUUCACCUUCUUUCCAUCUUUUAAAAGUCAAAGAUGCACCUCCUGUGGCCACCUAAGGAAAACCACCAAGUCUUUUCAGCAGGCAAAAGCCAGAGGAAAGGACCUGCAGACCUAGGAUCCUGGGAGCCUGAAAUUCUCCACCUCCUCCCAUCAGAACCCAUUUCCAAGGUGUUGACUGGGGGUCUCUUCACCAGUAGCUUCUGCAAAAGGAUUCUCCACAAUCUCCACCACGCUGGCCGCGUAGGCUAAGAGAUGGAUAUACUUGUGCUUGUGGUCUGGGUUGAUCCUGGCCCCAGGUUUAAAGAGCGAUUGCAUGAACAGGUCCAGGAAGGCGGGCACCCGGAUGAGCUCGACAGGAGGC